rnacentral:rRNA from 1 species
AUUGAACGCUGGCGGCAUGCCUUACACAUGCAAGUCGAACGGUAACAGGUCUUCGGAUGCUGACGAGUGGCGAACGGGUGAGUAAUACAUCGGAACGUGCCUGAGAGUGGGGGAUAACGAGGCGAAAGCUUUGCUAAUACCGCAUACGAUCUCAGGAUGAAAGCAGGGGACCGCAAGGCCUUGCGCUCACGGAGCGGCCGAUGGCAGAUUAGGUAGUUGGUGGGAUAAAAGCUUACCAAGCCGACGAUCUGUAGCUGGUCUGAGAGGACGACCAGCCACACUGGGACUGAGACACGGCCCAGACUCCUACGGGAGGCAGCAGUGGGGAAUUUUGGACAAUGGGCGAAAGCCUGAUCCAGCCAUGCCGCGUGCAGGAUGAAGGCCUUCGGGUUGUAAACUGCUUUUGUACGGAACGAAAAAGUUCUCUCUAAUACAGGGGGCGAAUGACGGUACCGUAAGAAUAAGCACCGGCUAACUACGUGCCAGCCGCCGCAGUAAUAC